AACGAACGCUGGCGGCAGGCUUAACUCAUGCGAGUCGAACGCCCCGCAAGGGGAGUGGCAGACGGGUGAGUAACACGUGGGAACAUGCCCAAAGGUACGGAAUAUUCUCGGGAAACUGGGAGCAAUACCGUAUGUGCCCGCAAGGGGAAAGAUUUAUCGCCUUUGGAUUGGCCCGCGUUGGAUUAGCUAGUUGGUGGGGUAAAAGCCUACCAAGGCGACGAUCCAUAGCUGGUCUGAGAGGACGACCAGCCACACUGGGACUGAGACACGGCCCAGACUCCUACGGGAGGCAGCAGUGGGGAAUCUUGGACAAUGGGCGCAAGCCUGAUCCAGCCAUGCCGCGUGAGUGAUGAAGGCCCUAGGGUUGUAAAACUCUUUCGUGGGGGACGAUAAUGACGGUACCCCAAGAAGAAGCUCCGGCUAACUUCGUGCCAGCCGCCGCCGUAA
rnacentral:rRNA from 1 species